UACGGAGGGUGCAAGCGUUGUUCGGAAUUACUGGGCGUAAAGCGCACGUAGGCGGCUUUGUAAGUUAGAGGUGAAAGCCCAGGGCUUAACCCUGGAAUUGCCUUUAAGACUGCAUCGCUAGAAUUGUGGAGAGGUAAGUGGAAUUCCGAGUGUAGAGGUGAAAUUCGUAGAUAUUCGGAAGAACACCAGUGGCGAAGGCGACUUACUGGACACAUAUUGACGCUGAGGUGCGAAAGCGUGGGGAGCAAACACG
rnacentral:rRNA from 1 species